UGAUUUGUGAAGGACAUGUAGGACCAGCCUGCUAGGUAGGUUACCAGCAGGCCUACUGCCCAGCUCUACAAAUGGGGUGAUUUGUGAAGGACAUGUAGGACCAGCCUGCUGGGAGUGUUACCAGCAGACAUCUGUUAGGUUUCUUCUUUAAGGACGGUUACUAUUACAUUUGGUGUUUGCCCGUGGGAUAUUUUACGUCUUGCGCAAGUGCCAUCGUUGUAACAGUUAGCACCGCGCUUCAUUGGAUAGCAGUAAGGAAGUUGAACAUAUGUUAUCCCACUUAUAUUACUGAUGUUUUUAUGUUCGAUAAUAGCACAUACGCAUCUUAUGAACGUGAUCUUACAGUUUCCAGUGAUAGGGAUCAGGAUGUGGGAGUACCACAGGCAGAAGAAAAACUCAUCCAAAAACAACAACGACCUUACUACACUGAUUAAUAUUGGGGUCACGUCUGUCCCUUGAUAAAUUGCAGGAGUGUAGGGUUACCAUUCAAGAACUACUACAUCUUUCAUCAGCCUUGAAACAGAUCCAAUUGAUAGGAUUGCUAAAACAUGUUUCUCCUGGUCAUACUUUUCUAUGACACUGUAGUACACUUAAUUUUCUGAUAGUAUAGUGGUGAACGGCCAUGUAUUAUCUGCAUAAGUGUUGUUUAUAAAGAUAUGUGUCAUUAUCCUUAACGUACUUGCUAUAUGGAUAGUUACAUAUGCAUAUGUUCUAGAUACAGUUGUCAUAACCUAACUGAGAACGGAAGAAGAUCUAAGAAACACGUUGUUACUUUACAGAUCAUAUUAAUAACCAUCUCGCGGUAUAUUAAAUGCCCAGAACCUGUGACAUGUACACCUUUUGCUCCAUAAUAGACUCUUACGUAAGUUUUGUACAUUCAGUUCCCUAGCAUUUGUUCAUAUUUA